CAACCUCACCCUUCCUUGUUUCUCCCGCCUAUAUACCGCCGUCGUCAGCUUACCCUGUGAAGGUCUAAUAGUAAGCAAAAUUGGCCCCGCCCAGAACGUCAGGUCGAGGUGUAGCGCAUGAGAGGGGAAGAAAUGGGCUACAUUCGCUAGUAUAGCGAAUACGAACGAUGCACUGAAAACGUCCAUCUGAAGGAGGAUUUAGCAGUAAGUGGAAAAUAGAGUGUUCCACUGAAAUCGGCUCUGAAGUGCGUACACACCGCCCGUCACUCUCCCCAAGCUUACCAAUUUAUGUAUCUAAAACGCUUUAACUGCGAAGGGGAGGCAAGUCGUAACAUGGUAAGUGUACCGGAAGGUGCACUUGGAAAAAU
rnacentral:rRNA from 1 species